rnacentral:rRNA from 1 species
ACAUAACUGAUGCCUCCGCGUAUCGACUUUGUGCGCAUUUUAGCUAUUAUGUGUUCUUUUAAUUAAAAUGAUUCUUUUUAAGAUUCAUCUAUUAAAAAUUUGCUUCGGCAUAAUUUUUUUUGAUGAUCUUGUUACUUUGAGUAAAUUAGAGUGUUCAAAGCGAACAGAUAUAGCAUUUGUGCGUUUGAAUACUACAGCAUGGAAUAACAAAAUUGAACAAGUCAGAAUUUUUUUGUUCUUUUUUCUUAUUUUGGCUUAGUUACGAUUAAUAGGAGUAGCUUGGGGGCAUUUGUAUUCAGAUGUCAGAGGUGAAAUUCUUAGAUUUUCUGGAGACAAACAACUGCGAAAGCAUUUGCCUAAAAUACUUCCAUUAAUCAAGAACGAAAGUUAAGGGAGUGAAGACGAUCAGAUACCGUCGUAAUCUUAACCAUAAACUAUGCCGACUAGGCUUUGGAUGGAAGAUUUUAAAAUAAGAGUUUUUCUUUUCUCUCCGGAGAUUAGAACUCUUAGAUUGCUUCCUUCAGUGCCUUAUGAGAAAUCAAAGUCUUUGGGUUCUGGGGCGAGUAUUCGCGCAAGCGAGAAAGUUAAAAGAAUUGACGGAAGGGCACCACCAGGCGUGGAGCUUGCGGCUUAAUUUGACUCAACACGGGAAAACUCACUAGUUUAAGACAAGAGUAGGAUUGACAGAUUAAUAGCUCUUUCUUGAUUUCUUGGAUGGUGAUGCAUGGCCGUUUUUAGUUCGUGAAUAUGAUUUGUCUGGUUAACUCCGAUAACGAACGAGAUCUUAACCUGCUAAUUAGCGGCAAAUACGAUAUAUUCUUAUGUAGAAUUGAAUAUAGUGGAUUUGUUAGAUUUUGAAGAAAAUAUUGGAAUUACGUUAAAUGUGAUUCCUUUCCCUUUUCUACUUAAUUUACAUUUCCAUCUAUUUCUUUUUUGCGUAUGAAUGUAUUUGCUUGAUUGUAAAGCUUCUUAGAGGAACGAUGUGUG